UACGAAGGGGGCUAGCGUUGUUCGGAAUCACUGGGCGUAAAGCGCACGUAGGCGGACGUGUCAGUCAGGGGUGAAAUCCCGGAGCUCAACUUCGGAACUGCCUUUGAUACAGCACGUCUUGAGUCCGGAAGAGGUGGGUGGAAUUCCUAGUGUAGAGGUGAAAUUCGUAGAUAUUAGGAAGAACACCGGUGGCGAAGGCGGCCCACUGGUCCGGUACUGACGCUGAGGUGCGAAAGCGUGGGGAGCAAACAGG
rnacentral:rRNA from 1 species